rnacentral:tRNA from 1 species
AGCCCCGGUAGCUCAGCCUGGUUGGAGCGCCUGCCUCGUAAGCAGGAGGUCCCGGGUGGCGGGGAUCCGCCCGGGAAUUC